CUCUAACCAUUCACCUGGCUUCCUUGAGCUUCAGGCAAAAAUAUCUCUAAUGAGACAGAGAGGGGUAUUUUUUUUAUAAAUCCCUACAAAUCCCUCUCUGUCUCAUUAGAGAUAUUUUUUCCAGAAGCUCAAGGAAGCAAGGUGAAUUGUUAGAGU